UGAUGCUCCCCAUUGAACACUGGAGAAAAUGGAGUCUCAGGUGUUGCAUAGUGGUUUAAUAGAUGAACCUCUGGAGCCAAAGUACUAGACACCAGCUCCACAACCACUUGCCAGCCUUUUAACUAGAAAAAGAAGGGCAUCCAGCCAUUUGCAAACACAUGGAUACCCCUUGAGAGUAUUCUGCUAGAUAAGGAGUUUGAGACUCCCUCAGCCCUCCACUAUCCCCAUGAGACAAACCAGAACAUGCUGCGCCAUGGCAGGACAUACUGUGUCCCUUUGUUCCAAAUGACCUCAACAACUCAAAUUCCCUAUCACAAAUAUAUGAAGUCGUGAAAAGG